rnacentral:rRNA from 1 species
GACGUAGGGUGCGAGCGUUGUCCGGAUUUAUUGGGCGUAAAGAGCUCGUAGGCGGCUUGUCGCGUCGACCGUGAAAACUUGGGGCUCAACCCCAAGCCUGCGGUCGAUACGGGCAGGCUAGAGUUCGGUAGGGGAGACUGGAAUUCCUGGCGUAGCGGUGAAAUGCGCAGAUAUCAGGAGGAACACCGGUGGCGAAGGCGGGUCUCUGGGCCGAUACUGACGCUGAGGAGCGAAAGCGUGGGGAGCGAACAGG